rnacentral:rRNA from 1 species
GAUGAACGCUGGCGGCGUGCCUAAUACAUGCAAGUCGAGCGAACAGACGAGGAGCUUGCUCCUCUGACGUUAGCGGCGGACGGGUGAGUAACCCGUGGAUAACCUACCUAUAAGACUGGGAUAACUUCGGGAAACCGGAGCUAAUACCGGAUAAUAUAUUGAACCGCCUGGUUCAAUAGUGAAAGACGGUUUUGCUGUCACUUAUAGAUGGAUCCGCGCCGCAUUAGCUAGUUGGUAAGGUAACGGCUUACCAAGGCAACGAUGCGUAGCCGACCUGAGAGGGUGACCGGCCACACUGGAACUGAGACACGGUCCAGACUCCUACGGGAGGCAGCAGUAGGGAAUCUUCCGCAAGGGGCGAAAGCCUGACGGAGCAACGCCGCGUGAGUGAUGAAGGUCUUCGGAUCGUAAAACUCUGUUAUUAGGGAAGAACAAAUGUGUAAGUAACUAUGCACGUCUUGACGGUACCUAAUCAGAAAGCCACGGCUAACUACGUG